GGGAGCUUACAAAGCACCGCAAUUAACGCAACUGAGCAAGGUACCAUAGUAAUAAAUAACAAAUUAUUAUUCAAAUAAUGAGAAAGAUUGUCGGCGAUAGAAAGCCGAUCGAUAGGCUAUCGGUCGGUAAGCGUCGGCGACAAAAAGGUAAUUAAUAGGCUAUCGGUCGGUAAACUGUUAACAUUUAACGUAUCGUGUAUAGGUAAUUGCAUCUAUAGGUUACGAUUGGCCACCCUGUAUAUGAUAUCAAAAUCUUCUUUUAUAUCAAAAUGAUAGAUUCAAUUAACAGUAUUGUAAUGAUCUCAAAGUACAUAUACAUAUUUAUACUAAUGUUUCCUAAUGAUCUUAAAUAAUUACUGGAUCAUGGAUUAAUACGUAAUGCCGUCAUUGAGAACGAUUAUCGAACAGAUACAUUGGUGGAUCAUGAAAAUGAAUGGUUCGUUUCUUCUCCGGUAUUUUUAAUGAAAACUAGAAAACGGUUAUAUUAUUAUACUGUAUAAGAAACUACUUAUAUGACGCUUAUUUUUAAUAAAAAGAAAAAAU
rnacentral:misc_RNA from 1 species